GAUGAACGCUGGCGGCGUGCCUAAUACAUGCAAGUCGAGCGAACGGACGAGAAGCUUGCUUCUCUGACGUUAGCGGCGGACGGGUGAGUAACACGUGGAUAACCUACCUAUAAGACUGGGAUAACUUCGGGAAACCGGAGCUAAUACCGGAUAAUAUUUUGAACCGCAUGGUUCAAUAGUGAAAGACGGUUUUGCUGUCACUUAUAGAUGGAUCCGCGCUGCAUUAGCUAGUUGGUAAGGUAACGGCUUACCAAGGCAACGAUGCGUAGCCGACCUGAGAGGGUGAUCGGCCACACUGGAACUGAGACACGGUCCAGACUCCUACGGGAGGCAGCAGUAGGGAAUCUUCCGCAAUGGGCGAAAGCCUGACGGAGCAACGCCGCGUGAGUGAUGAAGGUCUUCGGAUCGUAAAACUCUGUUAUUAGGGAAGAACAGAUGUGUAAGUAACUGUGCACGUCUUGACGGUACCUAAUCAGAAAGCCACGGCUAACUACGUG
rnacentral:rRNA from 1 species